CACCCCAAAGGGAAUUUGAGUGGGUCUCGGUAUGAUUCGAGGGUGGGACUUAAAUCCGGCAAGUGCAUAUUCCUUCCUCCUUGGACUCACUAUAAGCCCAGGUACAGCAUCAGUGCAUUGAGUCUGUCUACAGCUGAACUGUCACAGCCAACUAGCCUACAGAGCGCACCACUCAACCAACCUGCAGGAAGUUUCACUCACAACACACGGCCUGCUGCUCCAUCCAGACCCCAGGAUGAGUUACUACAUGGAUCCAGUUUCCUCCUACUCGACCCUUCACCCCUGUGACCGUCUGGGUGCGAUGAGGCAGAGUGGAGGGGUGGCUAUGGGACCACUGACCCAGCUCCCUGGUAUGGUGGUUCACCCCCAGCAGCAGCAGCACUACCCCCCA